rnacentral:rRNA from 1 species
CGUGGCCUACGGGAGGCAGCAGUGGGGAAUAUUGCACAAUGGGGGAAACCCUGAUGCGGCGACGCCGCGUGAGGGAAGAAGGUUUUCGGAUUGUAAACCUCUGUCUUUGGUGACGAAAGAUGACGGUAGCCAAAGAGGAAGCUACGGCUAACUACGUGCCAGCAGCCGCGGUAAUACGUAGGUGGCAAGCGUUGUCCGGAAUUACUGGGUGUAAAGGGAGCGUAGGCGGGAAGACAAGUUGAAUGUUUAAACUAUCGGCUCAACCGAUAAUCGCGUUCAAAACUGUUUUUCUUGAGUGAAGUAGG